rnacentral:tRNA from 1 species
GCCGCGUUAGCUCAGUUGGUAGAGCACUCGCCUUGUAAGCGAGCGGUCGAGAGUUCGAGUCUCUCACGCGGCU